GCGAUCUCGGCCAGCCGUUCGUCCAGGGCACUGAGGCCCUCCCGCAGACCCACUUUUUAUCCAUGGGUCACUAAAAGCCCUAUCGGCCCGACUUCGCUAGCGCUCCACCAAUCCCAGGACAGGACGUGGGGUGGUUCUCCCCAAUCCCCGCAUCGCCUCUCUUCCAGCCCCUGCCGCGCUCUCGUCUCGUCGCCCGCCGCCGCCGCCGGCUCGCGCCCCCACCCCCGCUCCGGCCCCGUUCUCGUCCCCCGCCGCCACGCCUCGAGCCGCCGCCUCGCGCCCCCGCCGCCUCGCCCGUCCUCCUCUCCGUUGUGCCUAGCUCCGUCCUCCUCCAUCCUCAACAUUGCCGGGAGCAGUGGUGGCCGCCGAUUGGAACAGCAGCACCAGCGGUUCACGGGCAGAGCACGACCGGAGGGCGGAUGGCGAGAUCCCCUCCACCGCUCUCUGGGAAGAGAAGCAGAAGGGGCGUGAGUUUGCGGGAGCAGCGCGCCGCGCGCCGCCCAAGAGAGGAGGAGGAGGAGCGUCCCGCGAGGUGAGCACCAAGGAGUUGCAGCCUUGAGGUACCUCGUGCGCCUCUCCCGGCCAUGGUGGCCGCCGUCCUCGUGCGCCUCUCCCGGCCAUGGUGGCCGCCGUCACCCACAAGCUUCUCGAUAUGGGCAAGGAGGCCGAGCAGGAAGCCCUCCAGAGGUCCGCCGGUGCUGGAGGCGGCGACCCAGGAGUUGCAGCGGUGAGGCACCUCUACGCCUCUCCCUGCCAUGGUGGUCGCCGUCACUCGCGAGCUGUUCGACAUGGAGUCUGCGCCGGCGAGAAGAUGCGCGUCGGCGUCUCCAAGCUGAAGUACUAGAUUUGUUGAGGGUGAGCUACACAUGCUGAUAAUGGUGGUGCUGCGGUGAGGAUCUGAGGUAAACAUAAAAAGUUAGGCUUCUCCGGAAUCCUAGCAAACUGUUAAAAAUUAUAAAAUUAUAAUGCUUAUGAACACAAGAAUAUAUCUGGGGAUCGAUGGGAGAUUUAACAUGGCUGGCCUCGACGGUUCAGUGCUGAAGAGAGGAGCAGGUCAGGGAGGAUGCAAAUCAAUGUGGUGAGGACCGGCUGUUGCAGGGAUGCUCACGGAAGUGCAGUCAUAGGGCUCGGCGGACUAGCAUCACUGGUUGGUGGAGGAGAAGAAGGCAAAUGGCGUUCUUGGAGUUCACUAAGUUUGUGGGGGCGGCACACAUCAGCGAUCGAGGGCUGCUAGAGAUAUCAUCCAUGGCAUUGCUUCCAAUCUGACCCUCUGUCUUGCUGUGGGGAUUGGUCUGGAUCAUUUACAAGGACAUUGUUCGUCCGGUGCUGAUUCUAUCAACUGGUUUUUGGUGUCUUGUAUAUUUAGGUCAUUAUUUAUUUGAGGUCAUCCUCCACUAUGCCCUUCUCCUCGUGCACAUGGCCUCAUAGGUCAUGAAUUAAAAUUAUUGUUUGUGGUGCAUGCCAAUAGUAUGAUCCAGAAAUUAAUUGAAUAUUAAGCUCUUGGUUCUGGCUUGUCAAUCCAUCAGUGUAUGCAACAUAAGGUAUUUCCAUUUGAUUCUGCAAUGCUUGGUCAUCAUCGGGUUAUGGAAGUUUUUGUGUGAGUGAUUCUCAUGCUCUCUACUCUUAUUUGCUCUAUGCAGUAUAGUAUAAUGUAUACUGGAAUAGGUCGUGAGAUAUGUAGUUAUUUUGUAUGUCCAUAUUUUAUCUCCAUUUUCUUUGUCAAUGAUUUACACUGUAGUUGGUAAUUUUUAGAACCAGUUUAAGGUAUUAUUUGAAGGCUUGUGCUGCUUUAUAAUCAAGUUUGACCUUACAAUAGAGUUGUUCGUUGUAAUGACACUAUCAUGCAGAUGAGUUACCUUGUACUGCUUUAUAAUCAAGUUUGACCUUACAAUAGAGUUGUUCGUUGUAAUGACACUAUCAUGCAGAUGAGUUACCUUGUACUGCUUUAUAAUCAAGUUUGACCUUACAUUAGCGUUGUUUGUUAUAAUGACACUAUCAUGCAGAUGAGUUACCUAGAUGAAUGGGUGGUGUCGAUAAAAUAUCAUUGGUCUCUUGUCCGAUGCGGGAGCUCUAAUCAAGCUAUAUAUACUUAUGUUGUUCUAUCAAGAAUUAACUGAACAAAGAAAUGCAGGCCAUGGUCUACCUUUCAGUAUGACUAAUUCUGAAAAGGAUAUCUUUGGAACGUUGUCUCUUUAGUUUUCUCUGAUAGGAUGUGAUUUCCUGGAUAUUGGUGGUCUCUAUUAUUGCCGUGUUCAAGGUCAAAUGAAGGAUUCAGAUGUGCUCAAUUAUGUACACUGAGGUUGGAGGUGUGCACCGAAGGUGUUUGAGUAAAUUCCCGAGUUCAGGAGAUCUGAGAGAGCAAUCACGAGAUGAAGCGGUGCUCAGCUGAAGAAAACCUGGUUGGUUAUGAGGCUGCUCAACAGGACAAUGGAUCUCAGCUAGAUAUAUUCAGUAUGAGACUGACAAGGCUGAAACUCUGUCAUCCAGUGACAAGGUGAUACUUCGACGGAAAAGGCCUUAUUUUCCAACAAUGAUUACCAUGGAAAACUUUAUUAAGCGAGACUCCUAUUUCGUGUGUAACUUCGUGUGAUUUAUCGUAAGAUCAUCAUAUCGAUUUCAUUUUUUGAAACCUAAUAAACAAAUUAUCAU